AAUGACGUCAAUGUUGGUGUCGAGUAACCAAAGGUCAAAAUAAAGACAAGUGAAUGAAAACGGAAGGAAACUUAACAGGCUGUCCAGAACAGGACAGAACAUGUCCAACUCGACUCAGACUUCAAACUAAAACAUCGCAGUGGGUGUCCACCUACCGUCGUCAGGGAAUUCUCGUUUUAUUAGCGGUUUUUAGGAAAAUGCUGGACUACACAUACUAAUACCUUUGACACUGGGAUCUGGAUUCACAACAGGCAUCAUGGUCAGAUGGCCAUUUUACACAGUUUCCUGUCCUUACCGAGUUACACCUGCAGGAAGAAUCCCACACAGCUUUUAGCAAACUUGAUGGAAAUGUCAAAAUUUAAAAAAAAGAUAUGGAGCAAUUUUGAAAUACUUUGGAGGUCCAGUUCAAGGAGAGCCAGGGGGACCUUCAUCAGCUUCUGACCAGCAAGCAGCAAGACCAUCAGCAACUUAAGCACGGAAGCAGAAGUUUUGAGGAGGAGAACGUGAGACUGUGAUCAUACAGACCCUGAUCACAAAGUAGUGAUGUUGUACAGUUAUAUAUUGUUCAUUUUAAACUACAACUACAAUAUUUAACUACAUAACUAGUUUAUUUAUUUAUUUUUUGUUGACAAUAACAUGGAUGCUGGUCCAUUAUAUACUUAUUUAUUUUAGUAAGUUUAGUUAUUUAUUUUUCACUGUUUUGGAAUGGUGGGUUAAAGCUUUUUUAUGUUAUGCCACCUUGUUAUGCCACCUCAAAGUUUACAUUAAACAUUUUUCAAGAA